rnacentral:rRNA from 1 species
CACGCCGUAAACGAUGGAUACUAGCUGUUGGGCGCAAGUUCAGUGGCUAAGCGAAAGUGAUAAGUAUCCCACCUGGGGAGUACGUUCGCAAGAAUGAAACUCAAAGGAAUUGACGGGGGC